rnacentral:rRNA from 1 species
GACGAACGCUGGCGGCGUGCUUAACACAUGCAAGUCGAACGGAAAGGCCUCUUUCGGGGGGUACUCGAGUGGCGAACGGGUGAGUAACACGUGAGUAACCUGCCCUUGACUUUGGGAUAACUUCAGGAAACUGGGGCUAAUACCGGAUAGGAGCUCCUGCUGCAUGGUGGGGGUUGGAAAGUUUCGGCGGUUGGGGAUGGACUCGCGGCUUAUCAGCUUGUUGGUGGGGUAGUGGCUUACCAAGGCUUUGACGGGUAGCCGGCCUGAGAGGGUGACCGGCCACAUUGGGACUGAGAUACGGCCCAGACUCCUACGGGAGGCAGCAGUGGCGAAUAUUGCACAAUGGGUGGAAGCCUGAUGCAGCAACGCCGUGUGCGGGAUGACGGCCUUCGGGUUGUAAACCGCUUUCGCUCAUGACGAAGCUUUGUGUGACGGUAGUGGGUAAAGAAGCACCGGCUAACUACGUG